AACGCACGAGACCUGCGGACCUGCGGAAGGAUCAUUAACAAAUUUGUUGAGUAUGUACAAUUGUGAACAGGCCAGAGUUUGUAUCUGAAGAAGCAUUUGUGUUGCUGAAUAUUUGUGUAGCAGAUAAGCAAUUAUUUGUGUAGCUAAAGAAGCAGAUGAGCAAUUAUUUGUCUAGCUAAAUAAGCAAUUAUUUGUGUAGCUAAAUAUUUGUCUAGCUGAAUAAGCAAAUUCACUACAAAA
rnacentral:misc_RNA from 1 species